AAAUGGUGUGUGCACUACAAUCUUCCCGAGCUCCUCUUUUGAAAACUGAGUACCUGAAACCAAAACUGAAAACUGUAAGCAUGAAGCUUAGUGAGCUCCCCCAAACUACCACAUACCAUACAAUAACAUAUAAAGCAUCUAUUGGGCUUUGCCCACUGCAUCAAACCGAAGUCGGGGAACUAACCAGGGCCUUGCCCUCUUCAUCGGACCGAAGUACGGAACUAACCAGGGCCUUGCCCUCUGCAUCGGACAGAAGUCUGGAAACUGCAUCGGACCGAAGUACGGAACUAACUGGGACUUUGUCCCCUGCAUCAUACCGAAGUCCGGAACUAACUGCAUCGGACUGAAGUCCAGAAACUGACUGAGCAUAACAUAGCAUAACAUAAACAUAUCAACUAGCAUGAACACAUAAACUACAUACUGCAUCGGGCUGUAGCCCGGAACACAUAACACAUAAACCCUGUCAGAGCCACGAAGGCAUCAAACAUCCUAACUACUGCAUCAGACCGAAGUCCGGAAACUACUGCUAGUCAAACUGGCCGACAUUAUGGCCUUAUACCCGUUCCUACUGGUAGGAAACUCAUCUCACACUGCUAAAGUCCUGCUGAAAAAACCAUAGCUAUUGGAUGACAGAUUCCCGAUCUGUCAAUAUCAAAAUAACACCCAAUUAAUAAUUGGGUUCCAACUCAUAACCAUAAGUCCUUACUUGGGGUAAAAGACUAAUUUACCCCUAUCUUAGCUUGACUCAAGCCCAAGGCCCAAUCCAAAGGCCCAAAAGUCUAAUAAUGGACCAAGGCCCAACUAUGGCCCAAUUUUCCAAAUUGGGCCCAACCUCUACAUGGACUUCCUUUAAGGCCCAAUUGUUCAGUCAAGUCCAACAUGUCUCAUUCUAAGGGCCCAAUAUCUUACAACCAUCUAAACCCAAACUAUGGCCCAAUUUUCCAAAUUAGGCCCAAUCCUUCAUAUGGGCCUUACCCUAAAGCCCAACUAAUUAUUCUAGUCCAUUUGAUUAUUCUUGGAUAGCCCAUUAAUAAACCAUUUACCAAAGCUCAAUCGAAAGGCCCAAUUCCAAAUCAAGUGUUUAAUCUCUUUAGACCAAGGCUCGUAAUCCUCUUUAUCUAAUUGAACAAACCAUAAUUUUUCUAAGUAUUUUCCAUCGCAUUUAAUCAUGCAUUAAUAUUUAUUUAGUCAAAUAUUUAAUCUAUCAAUAUAUAUAAUAAGCCCACCAAUUUCCUUGAAGUCCAUAUGAUUUAAAACUCAAUUCAUCAGCCCAUUUAUUUAUUUCUAUUUAAGUUGAAUUCUAAGUCCAAAUCUCGAAGCCCAACAAUUAGAUCUAACCUAAAGCUCAAAAUCAGUCAAGGCAUGUACCUCUUCUUCACCUUAUGCAAUCCGGAACAAUCACCAAUUCACCAGGGAGCUCCAGCCGAAGGUACUCCACCAGAACUGGUUUUCAGAUCGCUAGUGAAUCCUACUUCGACCUCCUCUGCCACGAAAUUCACCUGAGUCUUCACCAAACUCAGUCCUUUCCUUGCUCAUCUAAACAUCUCGAGAACCAGUCCUCAAUCACGAAGUAUAUAUGAUUCCUUAAACAUAUAUAUGCGAGAAUGAAAAUGUUAUUGAGUAAAUUAAAACCUAAGUUCAAGAUAUGCCUUGGAUUAGUGAUUGGAAAUCGCCUGCUUCAGCACACCGGAAACCUUCUGAAACUUCACCGGAGGUCCUUCACUCUUCCGACGGCAACUAUGACAGCUGGCAGCAGCUCCGGUGAUUGGUAACUCGACCCCCUUCUCUCUUUUAGUCCCACUCCCAAUUUCGUCAAGCUUCCACCCAGGGGGUCCGACAAUGUGGAAGUCGGGGAUGACACCCUUCUCAACUCUGAUUUCUCUCGAAAGCUAAUCUGAAAUCUACGGUCUCCUCCAGAGAACCCUCACCAUAAGCAACUGAUCUGGUUCCUUCUUCCCAGUGUGCUCUAAGUUAAUACCCCACUCUCGAGCUCUGGAAGUCAUAUCACCCAGGGUCUCACACCCCGAGGUACUCCCGAUCUACUUGCUAUCAUUUUGUGGUAUGUUCUGAUAAAUUACCUUAUUCAUUUCCUCAUUAGCUGCAUACUGGGGGUACCAUAUAAGCUCUUUCCCGAGACUUGGCAGUGAUUUGUGUCACAAUAUCAGUCGUAUAGUGGAGAUCUAACAACUCUUGCGCCGACUGUUGUGCCUCAAUCGCAUCUGGAAGUCAUCCCAUGGCAUAUCAUCAACCACGUCAUCACUCAACUUACUACCAACCUCUUCCUAUCAAUCUCGUGCUCUAUCCCUCAGGAGACAGGAAGUAGGUCAGAUAUUGUCUCCUUUCGAGACAAUGUCUGGUAUGAAAAGUGUUGGUGACAUCUGCCAACCAUCUACCGCUAACAANCUGCCAACCACUACCGCUAACAAUGGGGUCUAUAACCCCCAUGACAAUCUGAAGCCUCACAAACUCUGAAUUCCCGAAACAUCAACGUACGAGUCUCUAUCAUGACUGUUAUCUUACUGCAAAAUGCACUCGGCCUCUCAUCAAAAAUCUCUAAAAUGCCCUCCUUGAUCACACUGAGGAUCACAGGAGUCUGGUCAAUGAUACUGCGUGAAAUUCUCAGAUGGAAUGAACUCCUUCAUCUAAUCAUCAAUCUGCCCGUCUCCAGAGUCUGAGCCUGAUCCCUUGUCGACACCAAAACUACCAUCUGGUCUACCACGUAGCGCCAAUAUACUCGGCAACAUACCAUCACUAAUAUCACAAUACUUAUCCAAACUUGAGGGAUCUCACACACCACAAGUUUCCUGGAUUCAUCUCGGCCUUCCUUGAUUCGAGUACGGAUCCUCUGCUUUCAGUAGUACGGGCCCAUACUACCUUCCACAUCUAUCUGUACUUUCCCCAAGAACUGCCUUGACUCCACCAAGUUACUACUACUGCUACUGAUCUCUGCUACUACCAUCCUAGGCUUACCCGCCAUCAGCUGCAUAAGAAAUCCCCAUUUCCUUCCCCUAACUAGCUCGCGGAUACUAUUACAUAUCACUCAGACUAGAUAAUUCUUCAAAUGAGGGAUCCUACCGUAUAACGGUUGGACUCAAACGUGAGCUGUGAAAUAGAGAUAGACCUAACCUUCUGAAAUUAUUUAGUCCUGGUAACAUGUAACUUGACAUACUCGUUCACUAGUUAGUGAAAGACAACUAGAACUCUAAAAGCACAAAGCAAGCAGCAUUCGGGCAUCGAGUACAUAAUCAAGCAUAUACCACUCUGGCUGUCAUACUGACUAAUCUGCACUAGCAUACAAUGCUAAGCUCAUACUAUCAGGCAUAACCUAACCAGGCUAUCAUACUGAUGUCUACUCAACAUUAGCAUGCAAUUCUCAUAAAGCUGAAACACAUAAAACAGGCACAUAAGGCAUCCUCCUAGAUCCUCAGUCCUAUUCUAGCAUGCUGUUCUAAUAUAACUGAAACUGAUAAUCAUAACAUAAGCUUGUAUGGGUAAUUUGGGAGUACUUACUUGAGCUCGGCUAAUCGCAUGCACCACACCAUUUUCUCUUUUCAAAACUCUUUUCGCUUUUUCUAAAACCCUUUUCUUUAUAAUUUUUCUAAAAUUGUUUUCUUUUCUCAAAAUUCUUUUGUAACCAUGGUUUUUCUCUUGAAAACUUUAUACCACUUCCUUAUUUUGAGUUCAGACACACUCGUGAGUGCGCCUGAAUCUCUCAAACCAAGGCUCUGAUACCAACUCGAAACAUCCCAAAAAUACAGUCUGAAAAUUUCGUUUUAAAUUAGUGAUAAAACCAUAUUCAUCAAACGUCAUAUAAAAAUCAUACAUAAUGUAUCUCAAAAUAUUUUAACAACUGUCAAAUAUAUGAGAGUAUAAACAUCCCAGGCUGAACAAAUAGUGUGUGCACUACAAUCUUCCCGAGCUCCUCUUUUGAAAACUGAGUACCUGAAACCAAAACUGAAAACCGUAAGCACGAAGCUUAGUGAGCUCCCCCAAACUACCACAUACCAUACAAUAACAUAUAAAGCAUCUACUGCGCCUUGCCCACUAUAUCGGACCGAAUUCGGGGAACUAACCAGGGUCUUGCCCUCUGCAUCAGACCGAAGUACGGAACUAACGGCAGAAGUCCGGAAACUGCAUCGGACCGAAGUCCGGAACUGACUGGGACCUUGUCCCCUGCAUCGGACCGAAGUCCGAAACUAACUGCAUCGGACCGAAGUCCAAAAACUGACUGAGCAUAACAUAGCAUAACAUAAACAUAUCAACUAGCAUGAACACAUAAACUACAUACUGCAUCGGGCCGUAGCCCGGAACACAUAACACAUAAACCCUGUCAGAGCCACGAAGGCAUCGAACAUCCUAACUACUGCAUCAGACAGAAGUCCGGAAACUACUGCUAGUUAAACGGGCCGGCAUUGUGGCCUUAUACCCGUUCCUACUGGUAGGAAACUCACCUCACACUGCUGAACUCCUGCUGAAAAAACCAUAGCUGUUGGAUGACAGAUUCCCGAUCUGUCAAUAUCAAAAUAACACCCAAUUAAUAAUUGGGCUCCAACUCAUAACCAUAAGUCCUUACUUGGGGUAAAAGACUAAUUUACCCCUAUCUUAGCUUGACUAAAGCCCAAGGCCCAAUCCAAAGGCCCAAAAGUCUAAUAAUGGACCAAGGCCCAACUAUGGCCCAAUUUUCCAAAUUCCAACCUCUACAUGGACUUCCUUUAAGGCCCAAUUGUUCAGUCAAGUCCAACAUGUCUCAUUCUAAGGGCCCAAUAUCAUACAACCAUCUAAACCCAAACUAUGGCCCAAUUUUCCAAAUUGGGCCCAAUCCUUCAUAUGGGCCUUACCCUAAAGCCCAACUAAUUAUUCUAGUCCAUUUGAUUAUUCUUGGAUAGCCCAUUAAUAAACCAUUUACCAAAGCUCAAUCUAAAGGCCGAAUUCCAAAUCAAGUGUUUAAUCUCUUUAGACCAAGGCUCGUAAUCCUCUUUAUCUAAUUGAACAAACCAUAAUUUUUCUAAGUAUUUUCCAUCGCAUUUAAUCAUUCAUUAAUAUUUAUUUAGUCCAAUAUUUAAUCGAUCAAUANNNNNNNNNNNNNNNNNNNNNNNNNNNNUAUAUAUAUAUAUAUAUAUAUAUAUAUAAUAAGCCCACCAAUUUCCUUGAAGUCCAUAUGAUUUAAAACUCAAUUCAUCAGCCCAUUUAUUUAUUUGUAUUUAAGUUGAAUUCUAAGUCCAAAUCUCCAAGCCCAACAAUUAGAUCUAACCUAAAGCUCAAAAUCGGUCAAGGCAUGUACCUCUUCUUCACCUCAUGCAAUCGGGAACAAUCACCAAUUCACCAGGGAGCUCCAGCCGAGGGUACUCCACCAGAACUGGUUUUGAGAUCGCUAGUGAAUCCUUCUUCGACCUCCUCUGCCACGAAACUCACCUGAGACUUUACCAAACUCAGUCCUUUCCUUGCUCAUCUAAACAUCUCGAGAACCAGUCCUCAAUCACGAAGUAUAUAUGAUUCCUUAAACAUAUAUAUGCGAGAAUGAAAAUGUUAUUCAGUAAAUUAAAACCUAAGAUCAAGACAUGCCUUGGAUUAGUGAUUGGAAAUCCCCUUCUUCAGCACACCGGAAACCUUCUGAAACUUCACCGGAGGUCCUUCACUCUUCCGACGGCAACUCUGACAACUGGCAGCAGCUCCGGUGAUUGGCAACUCCACCCCCUUCUCUCUUUCAGUCCCACUCCCAAUUUCGUCAAGCUUCCACCCAGGGGGUCCGACAAUGUGCAAUCCAAAC
rnacentral:lncRNA from 1 species